rnacentral:rRNA from 1 species
AGAGUUUGAUCCUGGCUCAGGACGAACGCUGGCGGCGUGCUUAACACAUGCAAGUCGAACGGUUCUCGAGGUUCGAGGUUGGAUGUUCGAAGUUCGAAGAAGAAAGAAUUCGCUGAAAGCGAAAUUCCAACAAGCCUCGAAUUCACGAAUGUCGAACCUCGAACUUCGAGGAUAGUGGCGGACGGGUGAGUAACGCGUGGAUAACCUGCCUGACAGCCUGGGAUAACGCCGGGAAACUGGUGCUAAUACCGGAUACGCUCCUUUAACUGCAUAGUUAGAGGAAGAAAGGUGCAAACCGCUGACAGAUGGGUCCGCGUCCCAUUAGCUAGUUGGAGGGGUAACGGCCCACCAAGGCGACGAUGGGUAGCCGGCCUGAGAGGGCGACCGGCCACACUGGAACUGAGACACGGUCCAGACUCCUACGGGGGGCAGCAGUGGGGAAUCUUCCGCAAUGGGCGCAAGCCUGACGGAGCAACGCCGCGUGAGUGAAGAAAGGUUUUCGGAUUGUAAAACUCUGUCCAGGGGGAAGAAGCAAGUGACGGUACCCCUGGAGGAAGCCCCGGCUAACUACGUGCCAGCAGCCGCGGGUAAAACGUAGGGGGCGAGCGUUGUCCGGAAAUUACUGGGCGUUAAAGGGCGUGUAGGCGGCAUGGCAAGUCCAUAGUGAAACCCGACGGCUCAACUGUCGGCUUGCUAUAGAAACUGCUAAGCUUGAGUGCAGGAGAGGGGAGUGGAAUUCCCAGUGUAGCGGUGAAAUGCGUAGAUAUUGGGAGGAACACCAGUGGCGAGAGCGGCUCCCUGGCCUGUAACUGACGCUGAGGCGCGAAAGCGUGGGUAGCAAACAGGAUUAGAUACCCUGGUAGUCCACGCCGUAAACGAUGGGUGCUAGGUGUUGUGGGUAUCGACCCCCUCAGUGCCGGAGUUAACGCAAUAAGCACCCCGCCUGGGGAAGUACGGCCCGCAAGGCUGAAACUCAAAGGAAUUUGAACGGGGGCCCGCACAAGAGGGUGGAGUAUGUGGGUUUAAUUCGACGCAACGCGAAGAACCCUUACCCAGGUUUUGACAUCUCCUGCCAGUCUACGAAAGUAGAUGUUUAUCUUCGGAUAACAGGAAGACAGGUGGUGCAUGGUUGUCGUCAGCUCGUGUCGUGAGAUGUUGGGUUAAGUCCCGCAAACGAGCGCAACCCCUACCUUUAGUUGCCAGCAUUUAAAGAUGGGCACUCUAAAGGGACUGCCGUUGACAAAACGGAGGAAGGUGGGGAUGACGUCAAAUCAUCAUGCCCUUUAUGAUCUGGGCUACACACGUACUACAAUGGCCGGUACAGACGGAAGCGAAGCCGCGAGGUGGAGCGAACCCGAGAAAGCCGGUCCCAGUUCGGAUUGCAGGCUGCAACUCGCCUGCAUGAAGUCGGAAUCGCUAGUAAUCGCAGGUCAGCAUACUGCGGUGAAUACGUUCCCGGGCCUUGUACACACCGCCCGUCACACCACGAAAGUUGGCAACACCCGAAGCCGGCGAGCUAACCAGUAAUGGAGGCAGCCGUCGAAGGUGGGGUCGGUAAUUGGGGUGAAGUCGUAACAAGGUAGCCGUA